rnacentral:lncRNA from 1 species
UUCUUCCAGGAGCGCGCAUGAGCGGACGCUGCCUACGGGUGGCCGGGCGGGAUGUAACCGGCUGCUGAGCUGGCAGUUCUGUGUCGCUAGGCUUCUGCCCGGCCGCCGCCGCACAUAAGCUGCGAGGAGGAGCUUUACGACUUCCCGGUCUUCGGGGCCGGGCGCAGCAAGGGCCAGACUCUGCGCUAGCAGGCGCUGCGCGCCAACCGGCCGGCACCUGUCGCAGAAGGUGCAACCGAUCGCACUGUCGCGCAGAAGCUCCUCAAUGGCCAGCGCCAGCUGCAGCCCCGGCCGCCCACUCGCCUCAUCUGAGCCUGGGCGAAUCUGGAUUGGGAAAGUUGAUAUUAAUCAACUCAUUAUUCCUCACAGAUUUGUAUUCUCCAGAGUAUCCAGGUCCUUCUCAGAGAAUUAAAAAGCCUGUACAGGUCUACAUAUUGGUAUUUUUAAUUGAUGAUAAGCUGGAAUAAUAUUAAUACACACAAAGCACGUGUUGUAACUUUCAUUAUGCUUCCCUAGAGGUGGAACAAUCCAAAGUUUUAAUCAGAGAAGGUGGUGUUCAGUUGCUGCUUACAAUAGUUGAUACCCCAGUAUUUGGAGAUGCAGUGGAUAACAGUAAUUGGUAAAAAGGAUUUGUCCUCACAACUUUCCAGUGUAUUUGGGGUACUGGGGUGGUUAAACUUUCUCUUCUUAACAUUUUAAAACUCUUCUUAGCAAAGGUCACCAAACUUCAAGUAACAUGACAGGUUUGUAUACCAACUUUGCCACUUAUUUGACAAAGUUUAACUUCAAAGUUAAACAAAGAAGUUUAACUUCUUUGAACCCAUUUACUUUUUGAUAAAAUGGAGAUAAUACCUAUCAUAAAAUUGUUUUGAAGACAUAUUCCAAAAUAACGUAGCUAGAUAGAAGAAUUCUCAUUAUUGGAAGAAAUUUAAAAUGCUUUGCUUUAAUUUUAUCCAUUUGUAUAAAUUCUAUCACAAUCCUAAUUUAAACCUGAUAUUUAGACCUUCAGUUUUUCCAUAAGUCCUAAGUGAAGAAAACAACUAUGAAAUUUUAGUCUGAAGUAAUUAUCUUAGUAUUUUAUAAAUAACUUUAAUUUUGUUUGAAUUCACAUUGUUUUUGAGGUAUUUUUCUGUCAACUCUUAAAACUCCUAAGUUCAUCAUGAAGUUUUUAUAUUAUUUAAGUAAUCUCUCAUUUGAAAUUUGAAACUGAAUAUAAUCGUUUUCAUAUUAUGAAGUGUGUUAUUAAUACACUUACUAGUGCCAAUAGUAUGCUAAUAAUUUAGCUGUGUUUCAACAAUAAAUAUUUUCUUUCAUUUGGAAAGUUUUGAAAUAAUGAAUAAAGAUUUAUUCAACACAAUUUAUAUUUUUGAAUCUUUAUAUAGAAUAACUUGACAUAUCUUCCAUUGGUUAAUUCAUUUUGCCUAUUUGAAAAUAUUGAUUAUUGUCCUUUAACAGUCAUCAGUUAAUUCAUAUGUAGAAUUGCAACUUAAUUGUUUUGUUUAUUUGCAUUCUAUAGCUGGCAGCCUGCUAUCAAUUACAUUGAUAGUAAAUUUGAGGACUACCUAAAUGCAGAAUCGCAAGUGAACAGAUGUCAGAUGCCUGGUAACAGGGUGCAGUGUUGUUUAUACUUCAUUGCUCCUUCAGGACAUGGACCAUUACAUAACUGAAGACUCCCACCUUCAGGCAGGUUUGGGUAGUACACGUUUGUAACUACCUGGCAUUGCCUUUUGUUGAAGUAAUUUCAGUUUUUAUUAGUAGUAGUAGUAGUAUACUUUAAGUUCUACAGUAUAUGUUCACAAUGUGCAGGUU